GCUAAGUAUAUAAAAGAAUAAAAAACAAAAAACCACAGAGAAGGACAAAACAAAAACAAGAAAACAAGAGAAGAGAGAAAAAAAAUACAUAUUUAAAAAGAUGAUGUACUAAUUUGUAUCGCACUUAGAGAAGAAUGAAUAAUAUCGAAAUUGUUUUGUAGAUUGUUACGGGAAACAAGUGCUCGGUUAAUGGGGGGGAAAGCCGUAAAGUGUAUUGUGUUUAGUGAUGUAAAAAGUUAGUCGGUUUCUAGAAUUAAAUGCAAGAACUGAUAUAUUUAUUUGACCAAAAAGAAAGCUGUCAUUUAAAG